AUAAUACUCCCUCCGUCCGAGAAAACUUGUCCCAAGCUUGUCCCUCAAAUGGAUGUAUCUAGCACUAACUUGGUGCUAGGUACAUCCAUUUGAGGGACAAGCUUUUUCGGACGGAGGGAGUACAUA
rfam:Triticum aestivum genome assembly, contig: Triticum_aestivum_CS42_TGACv1_scaffold_130610_2BL